GAUGUGCCAUGGCCUACCUGUUAAACAUCUUUCCUUACAUUGACCAGAUUCAAAGGUGACCAUUCCACGUAUGUCUCCUCUGACAUAGUGGAAACAUUUACAUACUCCAUCUGUCUAAAGCUAGACACUUCUCUUUUCUUUGUUAGUGGGUACAUGAUCUGGACGGGGGUCAAUUCACCAUUUGUUGUGGCUCAAGUUGAGGCUAUUGCUAGAAUCAAGAAAAUCCAAUUUGAGUAGCUGAGUGCUUGACUUGAAAAUUGCCUUCUGCUCUUCCUGAAGAGGAGACUAUGAACCUUACUAUUACUGGGAAUGGUAAUCCUGUGUGAUUCACUCAUCUUGUGACCUAUUGUCCGAUCCUAGCCAGUACCCAUGCCAGUUCAUAACAAUUCAACUGUUUUGUCAACCAUUUUCUCUACCUUCUGUUUGUAUGGUGUUCCCCGUAAGUGUCAAAUGGAGAUAUGCCCCAA